GUCUACGGCCACACCACCCUGAACACACCUGAUCUCGUCUGAUCUCGGGAGCUAAGCAAGGUCGGGCCUGGUUAGUACUUGGAUGGGAGACCACCUGGGAAUACCGUGUGCUGUCAGCU
rnacentral:rRNA from 1 species